rnacentral:rRNA from 1 species
AACGAACGCUGGCGGCAGGCUUAACACAUGCAAGUCGAGCGCCCCGCAAGGGGAGCGGCAGACGGGUGAGUAACGCGUGGGAACGUACCUUUUGGUUCGGAACAACUCCGGGAAACUGGAGCUAAUACCGGAUAAGCCCUAACGGGGAAAGAUUUAUCGCCGAAAGAUCGGCCCGCGUCUGAUUAGCUAGUUGGUGAGGUAACGGCUCACCAAGGCGACGAUCAGUAGCUGGUCUGAGAGGAUGAUCAGCCAAACUGGGACUGAGACACGGCCCAGACUCCGAGGGGAGGCAGGGUGGGGCAAUAUGGGAGGAGGGCCGGAUGCAGGUCGCAACGGUGCGGGGUGGGGGAUGAAGGCCUUAGGGUUGUAAAGUUUUUGGUUCGGGGAAGAUACUUACUGGGCGGGAAGAAGAAGCCCCGGCUAACUUCGCGCCAGCAGCCGCAGUAAUAGUGGGAAGAGCAAACGUCUAAAC